rnacentral:rRNA from 1 species
AUUGAACGCUGGCGGCAGGCCUAACACAUGCAAGUCGAACGAGUGGCGGACGGGUGAGUAAUGUCUGGGAAACUCCCUGAUGGAGGGGGAUAACUACUGGAAAAGGUAGCUAAUACCUCAUACCAUCAGAUGUGCCCAGAUCGGAUUAGCUGGUUGGGGGGGUAACGGCUCACCAAGGCGAAGAUCCCUAGCUGGUAUGAGAGGAGUACCAGCCACACUGGAACUGAGACACGGUCCAGCCUCCUACGGGAGGCAGCAGUGGGGAAUAUUGGACAAUGGGCGAAAGCCUGAUGCAGCAAUGCCGCGUGUAUGAAGAAGGCCUUCGGGUUGUAAAGUACUUUCAGCGGGGAGGCGUUACCCGCAGAAGAAGCACCGGCUAACUACGUGCCAGCAGCCGCGGUAAUUC